rnacentral:rRNA from 1 species
GACGAACGCUGGCGGCGUGCCUAAUACAUGCAAGUCGAACGCAGUUGUGACGGGUGAUUAACACGUUGGUAACCUACCCUCAGAGGGGAUAACACUUGGAAACAGGUGCUAAACCGAUACUGAUGGAUGGACCCGCGGUGCAUUAGCUAGGUGUUGAGGUAACGGCUCACAAAGGCCACGAUGCAUAGCCGAACUGCGACGGUGAUCGGCCACACUGGAACUGAGACACGGCCCAGAUGCCUACGGGAGGCAGCAGGAGGGAAUAUUCGGCAAUGGACGAAAGUCUGACCGAGCCACGCCGCGUGAGUGAAGAAGGUUUUCGGAUCGUAAAACUCUGUUUUUAGAGAAGCGGUAGCUAACCAGAAAGCCACGGCUAACUACGUGCCAGCCGCCGCGGUAAUAC